GGGGACCAUCCUCCAAGGCUAAAUACUCCUGACUGACCGAUAGUGAACCAGUACCGUGAGGGAAAGGCGAAAAGAACCCCGGCGAGGGGAGUGAAAAAGAACCUGAAACCGUGUACGUACAAGCAGUGGGAGCACGCUUAGGCGUGUGACUGCGUACCUUUUGUAUAAUGGGUCAGCGACUUAUAUUCUGUAGCAAGGUUAACCGAAUAGGGGAGCCGAAGGGAAACCGAGUCUUAACUGGGCGUUAAGUUGCAGGGUAUAGACCCGAAACCCGGUGAUCUAGCCAUGGGCAGGUUGAAGGUUGGGUAACACUAACUGGAGGACCGAACCGACUAAUGUUGAAAAAUUAGCGGAUGACUUGUGGCUGGGGGUGAAAGGCCAAUCAAACCGGGAGAUAGCUGGUUCUCCCCGAAAGCUAUUUAGGUAGCGCCUCGUGAAUUCAUCUCCGGGGGUAGAGCACUGUUUCGGCAAGGGGGUCAUCCCGACUUACCAACCCGAUGCAAACUGCGAAUACCGGAGAAUGUUAUCACGGGAGACACACGGCGGGUGCUAACGUCCGUCGUGAAGAGGGAAACAACCCAGACCGCCAGCUAAGGUCCCAAAGUCAUGGUUAAGUGGGAAACGAUGUGGGAAGGCCCAGACAGCCAGGAUGUUGGCUUAGAAGCAGCCAUCAUUUAAAGAAAGCGUAAUAGCUCACUGGUCGAGUCGGCCUGCGCGGAAGAUGUAACGGGGCUAAACCAUGCACCGAAGCUGCGGCAGCGACGCUGAUGCGUUGUUGGGUAGGGGAGCGUUCUGUAAGCCUGUGAAGGUGUGCUGUGAGGCAUGCUGGAGGUAUCAGAAGUGCGAAUGCUGACAUAAGUAACGAUAAAGCGGGUGAAAAGCCCGCUCGCCGGAAGACCAAGGGUUCCUGUCCAACGUUAAUCGGGGCAGGGUGAGUCGACCCCUAAGGCGAGGCCGAAAGGCGUAGUCGAUGGGAAACAGGUUAAUAUUCCUGUACUUGGUGUUACUGCGAAGGGGGGACGGAGAAGGCUAUGUUGGCCGGGCGACGGUUGUCCCGGUUUAAGCGUGUAGGCUGGUUUUCCAGGCAAAUCCGGAAAAUCAAGGCUGAGGCGUGAUGACGAGGCACUACGGUGCUGAAGCAACAAAUGCCCUGCUUCCAGGAAAAGCCUCUAAGCAUCAGGUAACAUCAAAUCGUACCCCAAACCGACACAGGUGGUCAGGUAGAGAAUACCAAGGCGCUUGAGAGAACUCGGGUGAAGGAACUAGGCAAAAUGGUGCCGUAACUUCGGGAGAAGG
rnacentral:rRNA from 1 species